GAUCUGUGGUCUGUGAUGUGUUUCUGUGUCCGAUGAAAACAUGAGGCAUUUCUCACAGUAUUCGUCACUACCACUGAGACCACGGUGUC